ACGAACGCUGGCGGCGUGCCUAACACAUGCAAGUCGAGCGGGGACUUUGCGACAGAUCUGAAGCUUCGGACAGAAGUGAAGAUGUAAAGUUCUAGCGGCGGACGGGUGAGUAACGCGUGAGCAACCUGUCCCUUACAGGGGGAUAACACAGCGAAAGUUGUACUAAUACCGCAUGAGACCACAGUAUCACAUGGUACAGGGGUCAAAGGAGCAAUCCGGUAAGGGGUGGGCUCGCGUCCGAUUAGAUAGUUGGUGAGGUAACGGCCCACCAAGUCGACGAUCGGUAGCCGACCUGAGAGGGUGAUCGGCCACACUGGGACUGAGACACGGCCCAAACUCCUACGGGAGGCAGCAGUGGGGAAUAUUGGGCAAAUGGGGGAAACCCUGACCCAGCAACGCCGCGUGAGGGAAGAAGGUUUUCGGAUCGUAAACCUCUGUCCUUGGUGAAGAGGAAGAGACGGUAGCCAAGGAGGAAGCCCCGGCUAACUACGUGCCAGCCGCGGC
rnacentral:rRNA from 1 species